AACCCAUGGUAAGGGCACUCCCUUCGGUAUUCCUUGUAACGCUCCCAAGCAUCAUAGAAAGGUUCCGUCGGUCUUUUGCUUGAAAUUCAAGGUUCGUCGGUCUUUUGCUUGAAAUUCGAGAUCUUAUGCCUCAGAGC
rnacentral:snoRNA from 1 species